UACGGAGGGUGCAAGCGUUAUCCGGAUUUACUGGGUUUAAAGGGUGCGUAGGUGGGUUGGUAAGUCAGUGGUGAAAUACUUUCGCUUAACGAAGGAACUGCCAUUGAUACUACCAGUCUUGAAUACGGUGGAGGUAGGCGGAAUGCGUCAUGUAGCGGUGAAAUGCUUAGAUAUGACGCAGAACACCAAUUGCGAAGGCAGCUUGCUACACUGUUAUUGACACUGAGGCACGAAAGCGUGGGGAUCAAACAGG
rnacentral:rRNA from 1 species